rnacentral:rRNA from 1 species
AACGCGAAGAACCUUACCAGCUCUUGACAUCCCGUGUUACAUCGAGAGAUCGAUGGUCCUCUUCGGAGGCGCGGAGACAGGUGCUGCAUGGCUGUCGUCAGCUCGUGUCGUGAGAUGUUGGGUUAAGUCCCGCAACGAGCGCAACCCUCGCCUUUAGUUGCCAGCAUUUAGUUGGGCACUCUAGAGGGACUGCCGGUGAUAAGCCGGAGGAAGGUGGGGAUGACGUCAAGUCCUCAUGGCCCUUACGGGCUGGGCUACACACGUGCUACAAUGGCGGUGACAGUGGGCAGCGAAGCCGCGAGGCCUAGCUAAUCUCCAAAAGCCGUCUCAGUCCGGAUUGCACUCUGCAACUCGAGUGCAUGAAGUUGGAAUCGCUAGUAAUCGUAGAUCAGAAUGCUACGGUGAAUACGUUCCCGGGCCUUGUACACACCG